UGUGGCAGAGUGACUAUGCUCUUCCGUUGAUGUCUUGCUUUUAGCCGACUGCUAACUCUGGACAGCUGGUCUAGUAACAUCGGCAACGCUGAUUUGGUUGCAUGCAGCUCAGACGCGUUUUAAACUCGGAAAGGUGAAGUACGCAUGCGCGACGCUCUUGCUCGAUUAGCGGUGAUGUGGAUAUGAAUUAAACGCAAAUAAAUUAAAAAAAAAUGAAAAUUAAAUAACUAAAUACGUACAUACAUAUCAGGUCAGCUACUACAUAAAUAAGUGAUCUGAUGGCUCAUCAAAGUCAGGUGCUCAGCUGUAAAUUGUGUGAACGGCUUACUUAAAUAAUAAACAAAUAAAAAACAAAAGACAUGUCGCAAUAAACAAUUAAACGAGUGAAUUAAAACAACACAAACAAAUUUCCGAAAGAUUUCUACCGUAAUUUCCAGCUGUGCGAAUCGUGAUCAAAACCGCCGCAGCGAUUAGAUAGAUUUAACACUGAAAUGCUAAUAUUUUGCAUUAGCAAGACCAAACGCGUUUUCGUAAGAAAUGAAAGUGUGUGUGUGAAAUUAAAAAAAAAGUAAAAAAUACAUGUAGUUAAAAUAAAAGAACAAUUUUGAAGAAAUCAACAACUUGCAAAUUUCAUUAACAAAAACCAAAAAGAAAAAAUCCAAAAGCAAAAGCGGCUAAGCUACACACUCCUGAUCCCCCGCCCCCCCCCACAGAGCGUGAUCAAUCUAUAUGCAAACAUACAUAUGUAUGCCACUGUAAUAAAGUGAAAAGUGUACUAAAAAAAAAAAA